rnacentral:lncRNA from 1 species
AUCUUCUCUCUCGGUACCGACAAGAAGAGGACCAACACCACUGCAAGAGAGUUGCGCAGACUACGAGGACCUUUGCCCUGGGUUCCUCUGCCCAAGAAUGCCAUAGCUACGAGGACCUCAGCCUUCAGGUGCGCCGCAUGACCUUUGUUCAUUUCGAAAAACUCCGUUGAAAGAAAUGACGUCGCUGCAUGCACAGUGGCUGUGUCAAAAGAAGAGAUGAUAUCGUCGGGAUACGUCGCACUGUAGUCGAUUGGAUCUCGUUUUGGAUGUACGCAAUGAUGCCGCUGCUACUACAAUUGAUGCGAUCUAAUUUUGGAUCAGGAUGUGUAGUGAUUUUGUCGACUGUAUCUGUAGUUGGAGGUCGUGAUGUCGACGGUGAUGUUGAGGUGGUGGCAAUGUUGGCUGCUUUCUGGUUUUGGAUCUAGUUUUAGGCUAUGGUUCAGGAUAUCGAUUUUGGUGGAGGAGGAAAGGAAGGAGAUAGAGGUGGUGUGAUGUUGGUCAGGGGCAGACCCACAUGGGGU